UUGGUCCAUAUCUCUUUGUUUAUGUCUAUAUAUUGUUUUUUUUUAAAAAAUCUCCCUAUAUUUCUUUUUCUUUCACACAUUUACCCAUCCUUGUCUGUCUAGGCAGCGAACGGCAGCUUCGAGCCUUCGACACCUGCGCGCUUGUUUCGUACGUAACAUAGUGCCGAGCUUACUAAAUCUAUCUAGCGUUUUGUUUCUCAUAACAAAUCAACGAACCGUUAAUUAUAGUUUAUCAGCCAAGCGAAUAAAGUGGCCCUAAAAAAAAGUUCUUCAUGGCAGUACAGCGCUGUGCAUGUAUAUACUUGCUGAAUACCGGAAUUGCUAGAUCCGUCGAAUUCGUCGCAGUCUCGACUCAGCUUUCGUGAUUUUAACGUAGCAACCUGCGGGAUUUUAAUAGAGCUACUAAGUUAGAAAUCAGAGGACACGGAAGCAGGGCGUCACCGUCGAACCCUUUGUCCACAAAAUCAAACGCUUAUAGCACAAGAGAAUGGAUGC
rnacentral:lncRNA from 1 species